GUAGGUGGCGUAGUGUUUAGAGCCGUUGCUUUGCAAUCAGAAAUCCAAGGUUCAAAUCCUUGCACCUGCU
rnacentral:tRNA from 1 species